ACCGGGUCGUGAGUGUUCGGGAAUGUG
rnacentral:misc_RNA from 1 species